ACUGUUCCUGUAAGGGAUAUUAAGCUGUGUGGAUUGUGAGUGAUUCGUCACACAGCAAUUUGGAGCAGGAAGCACACGAAACCCUAGAGCUAGCCUGCACGCAACUAAUUGAAGCCCUCAAUUAAUCGGAUUGGCUUCCACCUUCAGGAGAAAAGCAAAUACUAAGAAAACAAAUUAGCACCUGGAAUUUAACAACUUCCCUUUUUUGGUGUGGGGGCGCAUUAUAUUCAGAGUACAUGAUAACUGAUGGCUCGUCUCAUAGGCACAGACAUCUUUACAAUCCUCUAAGGCAGAGUGGUGUGGUGGAAACGGAGUUGGCAGAGGCAUCAGAUCUGCCCGGGUUUCCAUCCCAGCUCCAGCAUGCAUGGGCCAUGUCGCUUGGCAAGCAGUCUCACCACUCAGAGCCUUGAUUUCAGGAUUAAAAAAAUAAUAACCUAUUCAACAGAAUCAUGGUCGAGAAGAUUAGGGGUUUGUGCAACUCCUCACCUGGUGGAUACUCAACCGGAAUGAGUUCUCUUUCUCAGUUCCUGCCUACAGAUCUAUAGACACUUAGCUUUAAAAGCUUUGAUUAUGGCCAGUUGCCUGGUCAACCUAAUACCAGCAGAGGAGUGUAUUUUCCCUACUAUGGUGGAACAGAGGUAAAGGUUUUCCAAGUUUGAAGCAAUCAUACAAACAAAAUAGGAGCCCAAAGACUUCUGCGGAGCUUUGGAAUGAGAGAUGCCCAUUCUGGUUUCAGAAACGCCAGCGCCAUCUCUUGGAGGAGCAUGAAAUUGUUUCCUUGGGCUGAAGAAGCAUCCAUGGGGCCCCAGUAUUCUGGUGAGCCUCCAAACCUAUGUUGAAUAGUAAGCAUCUUUUUCUUGUUCUUGACAGCAAA
rnacentral:lncRNA from 1 species